rnacentral:lncRNA from 1 species
AGAAUGUCCCACAAAUUAUUGACCCCCAUUGUUGUAAUGGAGAAUGAGUGAUUGUUCUACAGGUUUGAGAGGGAUAAUUUCAGAGUAUCAAAUCUCAAACGCUUGAUCCAAAAAUACACCUAGAUGUGCAAUGUUUCUUCUUCUCCUUUCCUUCCAUGAUUCUUUUUCUUGUUUCAAUAGAAAAGAAAGAAAAAGAAGUAGAUAUUUGCAAUUCGUUCAGCCAUGUUUCUGUUGGUGAUUCCCCAUGUUACUUCUCUUUUUGAACGCAUUCAACAACACACUCAGCUCACCCUUCUUUUCUAUUCUUCACAUGAAAUCAAUGAAUUCAAGUGGUAUCAUGAGCCUUUACCUAGUGUGAAGUGUUCUUGAUUUUGGGGAGAAAAACUAAGAAUAUGUUGAUGCACUCUUAUCAUCAAAAAUCCAAC